UCUUGAUUAACAUUAUACUUAGCACUUGUGAUUUUUGUUGAACUGUUUUUUGCUUCUUUUUUUUUUGUCUCAGGUGACUGACAUCACAUAAAAAGUGUUGUCAUCAAUUUUUGUUGUUCUCGGUGAAUGAUUUCUCUAUAUCAGCCUCUCUAAGUUGGUAUGUAAUCAUAAAAUUUACAUUUUGAUCUGUUUGAUCCCAGUAUAAACUAGGACAAUAUAUGCGAGAUUAAUUAUUUUAAGUAGAAGAUUAGUAACUAAAUUAUAUAUAUAUAUAUACUGUUAUACUGUAUAGUAGCUAAUAUUCACUGCAGAUUUAGUUUUGCUAUAAAUUUGUGGCCAUGGUACAUAAUACGAAAAAAAAUAAUCAUGCGAAUAAUGAUAUAUACAUGCAAAAGUAUAGCAGUGUUUGCAGUAACUGCAGAAUGUUUCUAAGUUAUGGUGACGCAAAAUUUAAUACAAGCGUCUGGGAGUCUUAACUUACAUAAAUGGAGACAAAUUUGAAAUGUUAACUCUGUGAAAUUAUACUUCAAUACAGUAGUCUAAGCAUUUACUUGUGUGUUAGAUUUUCAUGGACUGUUCUUGGUAUGAAUUUGGUUACAAGUGCAUUAUUUUGUAAUGGUAAAUUAGUGUUAUACCAAUAUUUGAGAAAUGUUGUUUUUUAAAAACAAGUUGAUAUUCUUAUGUCACAAUGCCUGUGCUGUUGUUUACACAAAUGAGUGAAUUUUCAUGAAAGUCUUAUAUCAUCUGUGAUGCUCAUUAUAUCAAUUAUAAUUAUACAAUGAAGAAAUUUCAAUCUAUUUCAUUGGAUGAUAUUCAUUGCAAACCCUUGGCAAGUAUUUGGUGCGGACAUGAGUUUUAUUUCUCUGGUUGGGACUUUUUGUCACUUACCUACAAGGGAGGUAAUCCUGUAAAUCCUUGUUUUUUAACCUGAUGUCACAAUGUUGAGUACACGUUGAAAUGUCUAGGCACUUAAUGUUGAUUAUGCUAAAUUAUUUCAUUAAAUUCUGAUGAAUAUUCAGGAAAAAAAUUCAUCAGCGAUGAAUGCCUACAUUAAUUUAUCUAACAAGUUUGUAUAUUAAUGUUACAUGCAUGAUACUGAGGCUCAAAUGUUUCCAUUUCAUUUCAGACCUAAUAGUCCAAACUGGAUCAUUAUCUUAGCUUUGUUAAAUUGUUAUGUAUUAAGUAUAGAUUUUCUAAGAGAAAUAUCCAUUUGACUGAUAGAAGAAAUAUCAGCUUUGAUGAAUGUGCAUGUUACUGAUAUGGAUAUCAUUUAAGCAGAAUUUAUAGGUUUGAUAUUAUUACUCAUAUAAAAUAUUACUCAAGAUAUUAUUUUCUAGCUUCAUUUCUGGGUGACCAUGCAGUUCUAGAUUUUUACUGUGAUUAUACAGGUGGUAUCUUUAAUACCGGGUAGUCCAAAUUUCAUUUCAAUAGUAGCAGUUUUUAAUUUUUUUUUUUAUUUAUUUACAUCUACAAUACAUCCAUAUUUUUGAAUUGCAAGGCUAUUGCGCAACCUCCCCCCCCCCCCCCCCCCUCAAUUUUUUUUAUUUUCUUUCAACAUGGUUUGAGAAUUUCUUCCAUCAUCUCUUGUGUAUAUAACAACACCUUAUGACGAUUCUUACGAGGACAAAACGGCUGUAUGAUGCAGUUUAUUUUAUUUUUGACUCUUUUGUUUUUGUACCUAACUCUGAAUCAAUUUGUACUGAAAGAUGCAAAUAUCUUAUCAUAAUUUUUUACAACCCAACAAUGCCUAACCAAGUUGAAAUGAAAAAUAUUUUUUACAGAAAUUGUGUAGCAGAUUAUAAUUUUUUCGGCCAAUUUUACUUCUGUGGUACAGCAUCUACUGUAAAUAUACAUGUUUCAGCAGUAAUCUUAUCUUAGCGCAUUUCGUGCUGAAAAAUUCCGCAUACAGUAAUUUUACGUACUAACAAGGUAUCCUUCACUUUGCUUGAUUUCUGUUACUCUUGUCUGGAUUUGUUUUUGGUUUAGUAGUUUCAUGCCCCAGUUCUUCCAAGCUACCUAACUUCAUAACGGGCUAAUUCAAGUAGUAAAUUAGUUUAAUUAGUUAUUUGAUGCUUUAUGCUGCAAUAUUUUUAUCUCAAGAUUUAAAUUAUAGAACUGUUUGUUGCUUAAUAUUUUCUCCAUGAAUAUGUAUUUAUCUUAAGAAUAUAAAAACAAAGAUGGACCUUUUUUAGAUUCUAGUGUAAUCCAGAUGUAAAUAAGUCCCAUUUUCUACAAUACUCAUUCACCUAUAAAAGCGUUGUGAAGGAAACAACAAAAAAAAAACAUAUCCUGAUGUUGUUGGUAAAAAUAUAUACACUACAGUGAACUCAGUGUAAAACGAACUUUAUUGGGACUAUAUAAUUUGGUUUGUGUAGAGUUCGGAUUGAAUGUCAUAAUUUAAUUGAUAUCUUUGUUGAAUAUAACAAACCUCUUGAAACCCACAUUAUGAUAGCUGUCAUUCUAUUCAUUGAUCAAGAUUCAAUUGAUAUUGGUCAUCUUUGGUGUGAAAACUUUUUUUGAUUUCUAGACCAUACAUGAGCCGACACCGAUUUACACAAAUUAAUGGGAACGAGAAAUAUGUCUGGAUUACAGAAUAGAGAGAGUCCGGAUUGGACAGAGUCUAGUUAAGACAAAGAUUGUGAUUGGAUAGAGUCCAAUUUAGACAAAGAUUUUGAUUGGACAUAGUUUAGUUUAGACAAAGAUCCAGAUUGGACAGAGUUUAGUUUAGACAAAGAUCUAGAUUGGACAGAGUUUAGUUUAGACAAAGAUCCGGAUUGGACAGAGUCUAGUUCAGACAAAAAUCCGGAUCAGACAGAGUCCAGUUUAGACAAAGAUUUUGAUUGGACAGACCAGUUUAGACAAAGAUCUGGAUUUGGACAGAGUCUAGUUCAGACAAAAAUCCGGAUCAGACAGAGUCUAGUUCAGACAAAAAUCCGGAUUAGACAGAGUCAGGUUUAGACAAAAAUCCAGAUCAGACAGAGUCUAGUUCAGACAAAAAUCCAGAUCAGACAGAGUCUAGUUCAGACAAAAAUCCGGAUCAGACAGAGUCAGGUUUAGACAAAGUCCACUAUAUAAUGUCCGUGAUAAACUAUCUGAUCAGGAGUCUGUCAGUAUGGAAAUGUUAAAAUUUUUGGUCACAAAUUUGGUUUUAUACUUACACUUGUGUAUAGCGACCACAUAUGUAAAAUUACUUAUCAUAAUCAUAUGGGAUAAAGAAUUUACCUCAUAAGAUAAGCUAGCAAUAACAAAGUCACUUAAAAUUAACCAUUGUAGUCAAAUUUUAAUAUCAAAAUGUAGCCCGAGGUAAUUUACACCUGCACAAGCCUAUGAGGAACAUCACCUAAAUGCAACAAAAAUGUCGCGAUUUUUUUCACACACUUUCUCUCUCAUUUUGGAUGUGGAAUGAGGGAGAUCUCCCUCAUUGGAGGUUUUAGAGGUUGACAUGUAUGAAAGUGCUUUGGGCUGUCAUUUCUCUUGUUAAUUUGUUAUGCAAUUGUUAUAUUUACAAAUAUUUUUAUACCUUUGUAUAAGCAAUAGCUUUGUUAUAUUAAACGGUUUUCUUUCUUUACUGUGAUUUAAAAAUGCUCUCUGAUUUCCAUGGAAGGCAUUACAGACUAUGUACUAGAUGGUUUGUUUGUUUGCUGGGUUUAUCACCCCAUAAACAGCCAGGGUCAUUUUGAGGCGAUGUCUCCUUGUAGUAGUUGGUGACUACCUCACUGUACAACAUACAAGAGGUCCGUCACAUACUAUCCAGAGCAAUUAAGGUAAAGUGUCUUGCCCAAGGACACAGCCAUGACUGCACACUGACCUGUUUCUCAGCUUUCCAAGAAACACAAACUGACACGGGUAGGGAGCAUCGAACCAUGUGCCUCAGGGUCUUCACCCAAGACAAUAUGACCGGCACUCUAACCUACUGAGCUAUCACAGCCCCUUAAGUACUGAAGCUAUAACUGACAAAAAGGGCUGUUAAUAUGAUAACUACCACUAAAAGUCUGUCUGCAGUUUGUUACGGUGUUAAAAAGUGUUGUAAUAUGAUAACUUCCAAUAAAAGCCUGUCUGCAGUAUGUUAUUGUGUAAAAAAGCACCAAGAUAUGAUAACCACCAAUAAAAGUCUGUCUGCAGUAUGUUAUUGUGU